UACGGAGGGCGCAAGCGUUGUUCGGAAUCAUUGGGCGUAAAGCGCGUGCAGGCGGCUUGGUAAGUCGGGUGUGAAAUCCCGGGGCUCAACCCCGGAACUGCAUCCGAUACUGCCUCGCUCGAGUCCCGGAGAGGAUGGCGGAAUUUCCGGUGUAGAGGUGAAAUUCGUAGAUAUCGGAAGGAACACCGGCGGCGAAGGCGGCCAUCUGGACGGUGACUGACGCUCAGACGCGAAAGCGUGGGGAGCAAACAGG
rnacentral:rRNA from 1 species